AGAGUUUGAUCCUGGCUCAGGAUGAACGCUAGCGGCAGGCCUAAUACAUGCAAGUCGAGGGGCAGCACGGUAGCAAUACUGGUGGCGACCGGCGCACGGGUGCGUAACGCGUAUGGAACUUGCCCUUUACUGGGGGAUAGCCCGGAGAAAUUCGGAUUAAUACCCCAUGGUAUGGUUUGUUGGCAUCAACAGAUUAUUAAAGGUUUAUCGGUAAAGGAUAGUCAUGCGUAUGAUUAGCUAGUUGGCGGGGUAACGGCCCACCAAGGCGAUGAUCAUUA
rnacentral:rRNA from 1 species